GUGACACACUCGCCAAAGUUGUCAUUGAAGCAACCAUACUAGCUGAAAAGAGUGGGCUCUUUGUGGAUUUUAUUACUUGCGAUGGUGCAAGUUGGAAUAUAAAUAUGUGGAAAGUACUUGGGAUCCAAGCGACAGCUGACUCUACUACUUCGAAAAUUGAACACCCCAGUGAUGCAUCACGGCACCUAUAUUUUAUAUCUGACUUCCCACAUCUCAUCAAAUGCCUACGGAACUCGCUGCUGAAGUCUGGAUUCAACACCCCUGCAGGUCAUGUUGAUAUGCAACAUGUAAGGGAAGCUCACAAAAUAGACUCCUCCAACGUGACCCUUAAAGUGAUGCCGGGCAUAACACGGUGUCACCUGGAUCCUAAUGGAUUUGAGAAGAUGAGGGUCAGCUAUACCUUCCAGCUUUAAGGGACAAAAGUCCUCCAAGCUUUCCACCUAUACAAAGACAAGUUGGAAGCAACACUUGGAAGGAUGGAUGUAACACAAGAGUUCUUCAGCAAAAUCCACCAGCUCAUAAGAGUGAUGACAUCGCGGUUCCCUGCUGAAGCCCUCAGACCGUGUUCAUCAGGAACAGCAGUGCUGCAGGAUUUUCUGUCCUACCUCAAAGCAUGGGAGCAGCAUACGAAAGGUGGAGGAGGCUUUCUGAGCAAUUCCACUGCUGCUGGCCUACGUGUGACCAUUUCGAGUACACUAGAGUUGCUUGACUAUCUCACUGAAAAUGUUGGCUUUAAAUACCUAAUGACUGCAAAAACUAGCCAGGAUCCUUUGGAAAACCUUUUCGGUAUUAUCAGGCAAUCUUCUGGCAGUAAUGAUCAUCCAACACCAACUCAGUUUUUAAUUACAGUAAACUGCAUGUCAUUCUAUGGUUUAGUUAAAGGUGUCAGUCAAGGAAACUGCGAAGAGGGCAUG